CGUCUCUGAUGAUAAAUUUUAAGGCUUGUUUCUCAUAACAUUCGCAGUGGCCGCCUGAGAGCUUUCGCCAUCGCCGGGCUUGAGAGCUUUUGCUGUCUUUAUCCUUCCUUGGAUGUCUGAGACU